GCACUUGUAGCUCAGUUGGAUAGAGCAACGCACUCCUAACGCGUAGGUCGCAGGUUCGACUCCUGCCAAGUGCA
rnacentral:tRNA from 1 species